GAGGAUAUCGCUCAGUAAUAGAGUGCCUGCUUAACACGCACGAGGUCCUGGGUUCAAUCCCCAGCACCUACG
rnacentral:tRNA from 1 species